AUUGAACGCUGGCGGAAUGCCUAACACAUGCAAGUCGAACGAGGUGUAGCAAUACACCUAGUGGCGGACGGGUGAGGAACACAUAGGAAUCUACCUUUUAGUGGGGGAUAACCCGGGGAAACUCGGAUUAAUACCGCAUACGAUCUACGGAUGAAAGUGGGGGACCGCAAGGCCUCACGCUGUUAGAUGAGCCUAUGUCCGAUUAGCUAGUUGGUAGGGUAAUGGCCUACCAAGGCGACGAUCGGUAGCUGGUUUGAGAGAACGAUCAGCCACACUGGAACUGAGACACGGUCCAGACUCCUACGGGAGGCAGCAGUGGGGAAUAUUGGACAAUGGGCGCAAGCCUGAUCCAGCAAUUCCGCGUGGGUGAAGAAGGCCUGCGGGUUGUAAAGCACUUUCAGUAGGAAGAAAGACCGAGUGCUAAUAUCACUCGGUC
rnacentral:rRNA from 1 species